GGGGAAUUUUGGACAAUGGGCGAAAGCCUGAUCCAGCAAUGCCGCGUGCAGGAUGAAGGCCCUCGGGUUGUAAACUGCUUUUGUACGGAACGAAAAGCCUGGGGCUAAUAUCCCCGGGUCAUGACGGUACCGUAAGAAUAAGCACCGGCUAACUACGUGCCAGCAGCCGCGGUAAUACGUAGGGUGCAAGCGUUAAUCGGAAUUACUGGGCGUAAAGCGUGCGCAGGCGGUUUUGUAAGACAGUGGUGAAAUCCCCGGGCUCAACCUGGGAACUGCCAUUGUGACUGCAAGGCUAGAGUGCGGCAGAGGGGGAUGGAAUUCCGCGUGUAGCAGUGAAAUGCGUAGAUAUGCGGAGGAACACCGAUGGCGAAGGCAAUCCCCUGGGCCUGCACUGACGCUCAUGCACGAAAGCGUGGGGAGCAAAC
rnacentral:rRNA from 1 species